UGGAGAUCCCCUCUGCUACAGUUUCAUAAGCAAGUCCAGGAUAUGGGGUUGCAUGUGUACUCAGAAUGAUAGCCCAGGGUGGAAGGGACCCUGAAAGACCAUCAGCUCCAGCUCUUUGUGGAAAAAAGUGUGCCAUCUGAAAUGCCCUGUCCCAUAGCACCUCAAAAGUCUCCAGGGAUGGGGAUUCCACCAUGGCCCUGCAGAGCCUGCUCCAGGGAUUAAUUGUUCUCCCUGUCAAACUACUUCUCUCUUACCUCAAGAUGUAACCUCUCUCAGUGCAGCCUGCAUCUGCUGCUGCUUCACUUCUCCACCUGCCUCCUAGUGAAGAAGUGUGUUUGAUUCCUGACCACCCUUAACUACUAAAAUCUGAGCUGUACCCUUAACUACUUAAAACUGAGCUGUACGUAGAAAUUGGAAGAAGUCUCCCUUAACCAACACUGAGUGGAACUAAGGUUGUUACAGCUUCAGACUAAGGCAGCAUAUGAGCACUGCGUCUACCAAACUAGUAUUUUGUUAUUGCAAUAUAAAAUAUCAGAAGAAACAUCACGUGGCUCACCACUAGUCACAAACCCAUGUAACAUCCCACAGGAAGCUAUGAAUUGUUUGUCAGUUCAUCUCAAUCAAAAUUGUCCAUUGAGGGGAAAAAAACCACACAAUUAGAUGAUCAAGUUUAAAGAAUGUACCUCUUUAAGAAUAAACAUUCAGAAAGUAAAACAUCUACAAAGUGGACAGAGAAUAGGAACAGAGACAGAUCAAAUAUUGAAACUAUCAGCAUAGGAGUGUCAUUUUCUUCCCAAAAAUAGCAGAGAAGUAAUGGGAUGUUAAAUAGCAAUGGCACAACUCACUGCAGGAUACUGUCCUGCUAUCUUAAGUACUUGCAAAAAGAGCUGUACAAAACAAACAAACAAACCCAUCUAAUCAGAUUUUAAAUGAAUUAACCUAUUUCUAGUUUUGAGUAAAACAGAGGUGUGCCAUUGGAAACAUCUAAAAUUGAUAUCCAGUUAAUUUUAGUAGAUUAGAGCCUCUUCUUCAAUGACUUCCUAUUCA